UUUCACCCAAAUGGUUUCCAAGGCAUAUACAUUUCCCUGCAGUUCUAAAGAUAUGAUUUUCUUGUUUUCUGUCAUAUGUAUUUGUUGGAUUAAUAUAGGGUAAUUUUAUAAUUUUUUUCCUGGUGAUGGUGCCUUUAGGGAACAUAAACCUAUAGAAGAGUAUUCAGAUUACGGCCAGGUUUUUUAAUUCAGUGAAAAAUAGAUUCAGUGCUGAAAAGUUGCCUGUUUGUAAUGUUUUAUAACAUGUACAUAUCACUUUUUCUUAGCAAAAUUAUUUUAGUGACCAUUUUGUGAGUAGUUUUUUCGAAAAUAGCAAUGUCAUAGUGUUACUAAUCUUUCUUUACUUAACGGUAUUAAAUAUUUAUCCAGUAUUAAUAUGACUUAGUUUCGUUGUCUAGUUCCAAGAAGGAUGUGAAUGCUGCUUUCCAUCAGGAUGUGAUAUUUGUUACAUUUUCGUCAUACAGGGUUUUUUUAUUCAGCUCAGAAUACAGAAUUGUUGUCAAAAUAGUGACAGUGUCUGUAAAGAUGUCAGAAGUUAUCUCACUUUUUAGGAGGAGGGGAACUGAAAUUGUAAUUUUCUGAAAGGGCUGCUCUUGGAAGAAUAGAUUUACCAACCAGAAAUUAAAAAACAUAAGCAUCUUUAAUAAACUUCAGUCCGGUGGCCCGCUGGCUGUGCCUGUGCCUCCCCUGCUGCGUCCUGCAAAGCCAGCGCAGCCAGUGUUUUCUGUCAGUGCCUAAGCUUAAUACUCAGUUCAGUCAGCUGAAAAAGUGCUGAAAAGAGAUCUGCAGUGGGCUUUUUCAGUGCAAAGGGAGUAUCUAUCAUACAGUUUUUCACCUGAACCUUGUUGGUCUUUAAAUACUUCUGUAAGAUGCUUUCAUUUGCCAAAGUCCUUAAAAUAACAUCUGCAUUCUACAGAGUUUAAGAAUUCAGUAGGAUUGUUAAUUCAGAUUUUUUUUUCCCCUUAAUUUUGAAAUUACUAGAAAUCUGAGCAUCAGUUUUGUCAUUUUUGCUGCGUAAACAGAUGAUCGAAAUUAGAAUUUAUUCAGUUCAGUAAAUACAUACAUUUAUAUGGUUAUCUUAAAAAACCCGA